UGGCUCUCGCAUCGAUGAAGAACGCAGCGAAAUGCGAUAAGUAAUGUGAAUUGCAGAAUUCAGUGAAUCAUCGAAUCUUUGAACGCACCUUGCGCCCGUUGGCUAUUCCGACGGGCAUGCCUGUUCGAGUGUCUUGAAAUCAUCAACCCUCUCGCUUCUGCGUCUGGGCUUGGAAUUGGGGGCUUUGCUGCCGAGAGGCGGCUCCCCUGGAAUGCAUUGGCUGUUGGCAGAGUCUAACCGCGGCGUUGUAAUCCCUCGCCGAUGCGGGUCUGCUCGACGUGCCCGCCCUGCGGGGCAACCCAACUUUGAAAUCUGACCUCGAAUCAGGUAGGACUACCCGCUGA
rnacentral:misc_RNA from 1 species